AUUGAACGCUGGCGGCAGGCCUAACACAUGCAAGUCGAGCGAGAAAGCCCUUCGGGGUGAGUAGAGCGGCGGACGGGUGAGUAACGCGUACGAAUCUGCCUAGUAGUGGGGGAUAACACGGGGAAACUCGUGCUAAUACCGCAUACGUCCUACGGGAGAAAAAGGGGGACCAUUUGGCCUCUUGCUAUUAGAUGAGCGUGCGUCGGAUUAGCUAGUUGGUAGGGUAAAGGCCUACCAAGGCGACGAUCCGUAGCUGGUCUGAGAGGAUGAUCAGCCACACCGGAACUGAGACACGGUCCGGACUCCUACGGGAGGCAGCAGUGGGGAAUAUUGGACAAUGGGGGCAACCCUGAUCCAGCCAUGCCGCGUGUGUGAAGAAGGCUUUAGGGUUGUAAAGCACUUUCAAUAGGGAGGAAAUGUUGAUGCUUAAUACGUAUCAGCCUUGACGUUACCUAUAGAAGAAGCACCGGCAAACUCCGUGCCAGCAGCCGCGGUAAUACGGAGGGUGCGAGCGUUAAUCGGAAUUACUGGGCGUAAAGCGAACGUAGGCGGUUAGAUAAGCUGGAUGUGAAAGCCCCGGGCUUAACCUGGGAACUGCAUUCAGAACUGUCUGGCUAGAG
rnacentral:rRNA from 1 species